rnacentral:tRNA from 1 species
GGGGCCGUAGCUCAACUGGGAGAGCGCCUGCCUUGCAAGCAGGGGGUUGUCGGUUCGAUCCCGAUCGGCUCCA